CUCCUGCCUGAGGCCUCGGAGCUCUGCCCUGUCCUCUCAGACGGCCUACCCCUCCCAGGCCCUGGGGCCCUCCCUGUACAGCACUCCAGGAAACCAUGCCUCUGCAUGGCUGUGUUGGCCUACUGGGCAAACCUGGACCGUAGCUGCAGCUGUACACCCCAGUUGCCCCAAGCAGCCCAGAAUGUGGCCACCCCCUGGUUCUUCUCAGUUCCUCCAGACACUGAGUCUGGCCCUGGAUCCACCGCUCUCCUGCCUCUUGGCAGAAUUAGCAGCCUGCUUUAACACAGGAGCAGAGGCCCAGAGACGUCUGGGAAAGAAGCAGAGAGACUUGGACAAGAAGGCUGGAAGCAACAGACAGAAGAAGCCCCACUCUGCUCCUACAGUUGGAAGGCUCCACAUUUCACAUGGAGGUGCACAUGCGCGCAUGCGUGUACACACACACACACACACACACACACACACACGAGCACACUUGUAAUAUAAAGACUGCAUGGAUCCUUGUGCCCCUUGGAAUCCAACACUCAACCUCAGCACACAAGGUCCCCAUCUCUAAGCAUGCACUCUCGUGACGGACACUUUUAGAGUCAGUAGAAGACUGAGUCUGCGUGUCUUGCAAACCUUGAACUAAGCUGCCUCCCACAUCAGCAAUGGACGGACUGAACGGAGGAAGCAGCUGAGAGAAAAGCACAAACAUGUGAUAGCAACACCCCAUGACAGCGGCAAGCACACAUUUUGUUCCAUGGGUACCGGCACAAUAGCACAGUGUUCGCUACGCUUGCAAAUCACAGGUGUGGAGCGUCUUCCACGACACAUAAUUUAUGAUUCACCUACAUUUGCACAUAUGCAUCUCAAGAUGCAAAUGCAUGAGGCGUGAGACCGACUCUUUACACGGGCAACCACCCAGACACGGAGCAGCGCCGCAAUGGCGAAUGAGUCAUCACUCUAAACUUGUCUACUAAGAAACCACUAAAGCUUCAAAACUCCACUCUAAAGUUAUCCUCACUUAAACAUUUUUAUUAAACUUCAUGUGUGUCCGAUGGAACCCACCAGUCUGACAUCUUGGUAGGGAAAUGCUGUGGUUUGAAAUGCAGGGUGUCCUCCAUGGCUCACUUGUGCGACACCUGGUCCUCAGCUAACGGUGUUGUCUUGGAAGGCUGUGGAAACUGCGGGUCACUGCGGGCAGGGACAGAUGUUCUGGAGCUCAGCCGCAUCUCCUGUCUGCUCUUGUCUUCCUGACUGUGAAUGCCUAGUGACCAGUCACAGUGCCACAUCCCUGCCAUGGCGCCUCCCCAGCUAUGAUGGAUUAUAACCCACCUGUCACCGUGAGCCAAAAUAAACCUAUCUGUAUCACUGUUGCCGGGUACUUUGUCACAGAAGCAAGGAAAACAGCUAACCCAGUCACUCUGAAGAUUUUUAAAAGGCAUCUUUAUCCCGUUUAUUUAUAUGUCUGUUUGUUUAUUUUAGGUCUGUGUGUGUGCAUUCACACCACAGCACACAUGUGGAGGUCAAAGGACAACUUUCAGGAGUCAAUUCUCUCCUUCCACCCCGUGGCUUCUGGGAAUCGAACUCAGGCCCUCGAGCUUGGUGGCAAAUGCCUGUACUUGCUGAGCCAUCUCAAUGGUCCUAGGGACAAUAUGUUUAAGGUUUACGUGAGAAGGACUGGGGAGAUGGUUCACUAGGUAAACGCAUGAGGAUCUUGACCUCCACCACCAAGUAUCCAGGUGUAGCACGGCGGUGGGCACCUGGAAUCCCAGCACUGGGGAGGAAGAUACGGGACUUUCUGUGAUUGGCUGAUCAACCAGUCCAACCAAAUUAGCAAGCUCCAGGUUCCACAAGAGACCCUGUCUCAAUAAUAAUAAAAAUGUGGAGCUACCUGAGAAAGACAUCCCACAAGGCCCUCAUACAUGCGUGCACACACACAUACAAGUAGACGCACACAUACAUUUUCACACGAGAAAUGGUUGUAAAUGCACAUCUUUACUAGUUGACCCUGUAGCUAUCAAAUUAGAAUAGGUGACGUUCCUGUGCUGAUUCUCUUGUCUCUGUCUAAUAAACCCCAAACCUUAGUGGCUCA